rnacentral:rRNA from 1 species
CACGUAGGGGGCUAGCGUUGUCCGGAAUCAUUGGGCGUAAAGAGCGUGUAGGCGGUCCGGUAAGUCCGCUGUGAAAGUCGGGGGCUCAACCCUCGAAUGCCGGUGGAUACUGUCGGGCUAGAGUGCGGGAGAGGGAUGUGGAAUUCCAGGUGUAGCGGUGAAAUGCGUAGAUAUCUGAAGGAACAUCAGUGGCGAAAGCGACUUCCUGGACCAAUACUGACGCUCAUGUGCGAAAGCGUGGGGAGCAAACAGG